rnacentral:rRNA from 1 species
CGGUGGUUCCGCAUGGAAGGGCCAUCGCUCAACGGAUAAAAGCUACCCCGGGGAUAACAGGCUUAUCUCCCCCAAGAGUUCACAUCGACGGGGAGGUUUGGCACCUCGAUGUCGGCUCAUCGCAUCCUGGGGCUGUAGUCGGUCCCAAGGGUUGGGCUGUUCGCCCAUUAAAGCGGUACGCGAGCUGGGUUCAGAACGUCGUGAGACAGUUCGGUCCCUAUCCGUCGUGGGCGUAGGAAAUUUGAGAGGAGCUGUCCUUAGUACGAGAGGACCGGGAUGGACAUACCUCUGGUGUACCAGUUGUCGUGCCAACGGCAUAGCUGGGUAGCUAUGUGUGGACGGGAUAAGUGCUGAAAGCAUCUAAGCAUGAAGCCCCCCUCAAGAUGAGAUUUCCCAACUUCGGUUAUAAGAUCCCUCAAAGAUGAUGAGGUUAAUAGGUUCGAGGUGGAAGCAUGGUGACAUGUGGAGCUGACGAAUACUAAUCGAUCGAAGACUUAAUCAA